CAAGGUUCAAGGCCCAACUCGCCCAUGUGAUAGCUCCCGACCCCGUCGCAAACAACUAACCAAAGAAAUUCUAUUGUCUUACAGGUGAAUAUUUUCCACAAAUUCCAAAUUCCGAAAGCGCAUCACCCGAAUGAGGAAAAAGAAUAAAAAAAAUAACAUCCACUUCUCCUCUUUGCAAACCGGGUAUCACAAGAACUCUUAACCAAAAUCUCCAUAGAUUAAUUAUCAUAGAGCUCCAAACUGGGCAACUUGCUGCCAUUCAGGUUUCAGAACUGAAUUAAAAUUCAGUUAUUAACCAAUCUGAAACUUCAGAAAUACGUGUCAUUGAAAUAUAACGAAUCUGAAUUUGUGCUAAGUUCAACUACUCUAAGUUUGACCAAUUCUGCAAAGAAAUCAUUAACACUUACAAUCGGCAGAGAAACCAAGUCUGAAUUUGUGAUAAGUCUAACUACUCUAAGUUUGACCAAGUCUGAAUUUGUGUUGUGUUGCUUGUGAAAACGAUCGGCAAAUAUAUUGGGUAUCUCUGUUUUGUAAAACUAUUUUCAAAAAAGAAAGCGCCAAUAUCUAGAUGAUCUUUAAUUAGUUUAAACAUGCACAUACAAUUUCGCAUGCUAGAUCUAUUGAUUCUCUCAUUAUUACUCGGGCAUGUACUCCUCAUGUCUUGACGAUUAGUAAUGUUUUCAUUUCUUUGAGUGUAGACAAGGACAUUAGCAGCUUCAACUAAUGGUCCUACUUUGCGAUCAAGGACUGAAAGGGAUAUUGUUGAUGAUAACCACGAGGAUAGUACUUUUGAAAAUGAAGAAACUAAAAAUCCCAUCAAUGAUGAAUGUAAAAAUCAAACAAACUUUAAAUUUAUUGUAGCAAUUUUGAGAAUAGUUAUCUAGAAAGGUUUUCAUCUGUUUUAUCUCCUGUAAUAAGCAGAGCAACCUAUUGGGCAUCAAAAUAUAAGGAAAGGAAGGGGCCCAACCUUGAAGAAGAACAUAUAUUCAAGUAGUGGUGGGCCUAAAAUCUGCAUUACCCUUAAUGAAUAUGGACAACCAGUUGGUAGGAACAACAAAGAGUUUGGUAAUUUCAUAGGAACUUUGGUGAGGAAAAAUAUCCUGGUUUCUUGUGAGGAUUGGAGACUAGUUGAUUCUAAAAAGAAGUUUGAGUUAUGGACAAAAGUGAAGGAAUACUAUGAAGUGGAUGAAUCUGGUAUAGAUUAUGUUAUAACAUCUGCAGCAAAAAAGUGGAGAGAGUUUAAGGCUGACCUAAAGGACAAAUAUUUUGAUGAAACAUUGAGUUUUGAAGAGCUUAUUGCUAAAAGGGAUGAAAGGGUGAAAGAAUCUGAUUAGGAGUGGUUGAUAACUUAUUGGAUGUCUCCAGAAGCCGAGGUUCGUACAAACAGAGGUAAAGAUAACCGUUCAAAGCUGACUAUGUCGCAUGCAGCUUGCAGCAAGAGUUAUGCUCGUGUGGGGCAUGAACUAGUAAAAACAUUAUAAUCACUAGUUUGUAUAAUCAUUAGUUUAAUUUAUGAAAAAUCUAGUCAAUUACUGGACCAAAUCAUUUUUUCUUGUAGGCCGAGCAACAAGGACGCCCUGCGAGAAGAGAUGAAAUAUAUGUUAGAACACACACGCGUAAGAACAAAGAAGGGGAUAUUGUGCCUCUACCUAGAGCAGAAAUAUUCAUUAAUAAAUUUGAAGAAGUUGUUGCUGAGAACCCAGAAUUGAAGGACAGAAGUAUUGAAGAUGGUGAUUUAUAUGCACAUGUUUUUGGAGAGAAAGAACCAAGAGGUUGUAUUUGUGGUUUAGGCUUAGGACCAACUCCACAACAUGUAGGCACCCCUGGAACUCAAAUGAAAAUAUCAACAAAGCUUCAAAUGGCAUUGCAAGCUCGCAGUCAGUCUGAGCAAGAGGUUAGAGCCUUAAGACAGGAUAUGAAUCAAAUGAAAGAAAAAAUAGAUCAAAUUUAUCAAAUGAUGGUAGCAGCUCAAGGGGUGCAACAUAUAGAAAGCCCAUCACAACAUGGGUCUAAUUCUCGACAGAACUCAAGGGUGCAUCGGUCAGAUGAGGUGGCACAUGAUUACAAUGGUAAUGACCAUUCACCAAAUAUGGUUGAAGAUGACUUGCAGCUUACUAGGCGAGUUGCAAGCACUAUGGCCCGUCCAAGGAAUCGUGAAGAUGUUAAUACUAUUGAAGAGCAAAGUCACAAGUGAGACAUUGCAACAAUGGUACCUCAAAGAAAUCAUGGAUCACCUCCAAAUGCAGAUGAUAAUCAUGUUGGUAAAGAAGUCAUAUUAUAUUCUAUGAUGAGAUCAGAAGUUCCUGUUGCAAUAGCAAAUAUUAUCUCAACCGACCCAACCACUAAGGUUGGAGAUGUUCCUCUUGGAAGGGAGUUUACACAGGUUUUUGUGACUCGUGUGCUAAAAAGGGAAAGUACUCUACCACGACCAUACUUAGGUGUAUAGAGUAUGGGGGAUGCUCUUUUUAUGCCCGUUGCAUGGCCAACGAACAAGGUAAUACUACAACCUUGUAUUUUAUUUAUGUAAUUAAUAGAACAAGCUUCUAAUGUCCAGUAUUUUUAGAUGAGUCGUAACAAAAAAUCAACAUUGACCCAAGGUUCUACAGCAGCAGAUAAAUAUUUUUUCAUAUAUAGUUGUGUAUAAGUGUAGAGAUGGAUUUAAAACAUAGUGAAUGGUACUAUUGCAUAACUGUGCAUCUGAAUCAUUCUCUGAUUUUGUAGACAAUUCUUGUCUCUAAUAUGUAAUUGUGUCUGCAAAUAGAUAAUUCUUUGUAUUCUAUGAAUUAUGAAACAUGUGCUUCCAUAUAUUGUGAGUUUGCCAAUGAUGCCAUUGUAGCCGAGUCUGGGAAGAAAGUGGCCUCUUCCUCAAGAUCAGGUCAGCUUCAAUUGUUUGCUUGGAUGUUUGGCUCUUCUGCUGGUGCUUUCGGAAACCUCCUAGGUGGCAUUGCGCUCAGCUAUUUUUCUCCCAAAGUCAUGUUUCUGUUUUUCGCAAUCCUUCUCCUGCUCCAGUUCUUCAGUACAUCACUUUAGCUCAGUUCUGUUUAGUUCAGUACAUCAUGUUCAGUGACCAAACCAUUGACUGUCAUAAGAAAUCUGAAAACAAGCCACUCGGUUUUCAUUUCCUGGUUGUGUCCAGUUUAGUUCUCUCUUUUCAUUUCCUGAAAACAAGCCACUCGGUUGAUACAUUUUCUGGUUACAUUUUCUGAAAUAGCUUCAAGAACUCGGUUACAUUUUCUGAAAUCUGAAAUCUGCAAUAGCUAUUUUCUGGUUACAUUUUCUAAAAUCUGAAAUGUGUAAUAGCUUCAGGAACUCGGUUGAUACCAGAAAUCUGAAAUCGGUACACAUAUCAUUCACUCACACAGUCACUUCCAUGUUGAUACUAGGAAUCUGUAAUAGGUUCAGGAACUCGGUUACAUUUUUUGAAAUCUAUAAUAGCUAUUUUCUGGUUACAUUUUCUGAAAUAUGAAAUCUGUAAUAGCUUCAGGAACUCGGUUGAUAUCUAAAAAAACACUAUGAUAUGUGCACCUCUCCAUCAUGUGCAUUGGAUAUUUUCCCUUCUUUGUAAUCAUGUGCAUUCAUUACAUAAAUAUAUGUAUUUAUAGACCUUUAUUGCACUUUCAGUUUGACAUAUUAUCAAAAUAUGUUGUAGGAAGAGGAGCUGGAAGCAAGGAUCAGAUUGCUUGAAGUGUCGAAAAAAAUGAUUACUCGCAUGCAUGCUAGCUGUUGGCGUAACACCUAGCCGAUGGAGAGAUUUUAGUUUGCUAGAUAUAUAUUUAUACUUUUGCAUGUAAUAGAACUGAAAGAUCACUUCAAAAAUUUAGGAAACUCGUGUAUGCUAUUAUUUUUAUAUGUUCAUCACAUGAAUCGUGUUCUAAACAAAUAUAUGUUGGGAUUCAAAGUCAAAGAUUGAUCUCUUUCUUUUA